UUUACCAAAAUACUCAAUCUUAUCUUCUCCUCCCUACUCUCCUGAUAACUAGUGAAAUGACUAUUCUCAGCAUCCACAUCUUCAUCUCUUCACAAACCUCUUUCUUUCUUGAAAAAGAACCUCUAUUUAUAGACAUCUUUCUUCUCUUCUUUCUUUCUUUUUGUAGCCAUAAACGAUCGCAAACCUCACAAACCAACUCCAGAUCUACACAAGCUAACAUCCACAACUAAGAUCUACAAAAACCACCACUAGAUCUGCUUUUCUUAAGUCCGAUAAGCUCUUCUUGUGUGUACAAGCAAGUGUUUUUUUGCAAAAAAAUCUAGGAACCAUUGAUCUGCUCUUUAUAAUUCUGAUAAUCCUGAUAUUCUACCGGCGGAACGUCUGUAGGAUUUCCUUCGGUAUCAGCUUUAAGUUCUGUUUGCUUUCGAGUCAGGUGAGUGGAUAAUUUUCCAUAUGCAUGAGAAAUAUUAUAAAUAUUUUAUUUGUUAAUAUAAAUUGGAUCAUGGUUCUUGAUAAUAUAUAUGUUGAUUAUUAUCCUUGUUAUGAUAAAGCAUGAUCAAUUGUUGAAACUGAAUUCUUGAUAUGAACUAGUAUAUAUUUUGAAUUGACUUCUGAAUUGAUAGCUCCUCAUUUGAUUGAUUUCAUGAGUUGAGCCUUGAGAUAUGAAUAUGUCUGUUUGAUUAUGAUUAUGAUUAUGAUUAUGAACUUAUGAUAUGUCAGUCAGAAUACCCAUGCGAACAGGGUAGUGUUAGUCUUUGUGCACAUCGUAUCUGAACCCUAGUUGGUCAGGGGAGUCACCAACCUGUGUGGACUGAUCAUCCCACAGUACGAAGCCUCAUGUUCAUUGCAUUUUGAUUUUCUGACGAGCUUUACCUUAAGAUAUUCUUGUUAUGGCCCAUUUGAGAAACCUUCCUAUAAGAACCUAGAGCCAUAAUUGUAUAUGUAUUUCUCAUUGUUGUAUUACCUCGUGUGUGUAUAUUGAACGUUAUCUACUCAUUGAGUGGUUGAACUCACCCUUUCAUUAUUUACCUUUUCAAGCGUAUAGCUUGUUAGCGGGUCAUUUUGUCGAACCUUCCGAACCUGCUUUUUGGUUGUAAUUUGUACCUUCCUUUUUGUCUAGUUAAUGCUCCAAAACUAUGAAAUUAUAUGAACUCUUGUAUUAAGACAAUCAAAUUAUAUUAUGAAGUUUAUUUUGUUAUUAGUGUUGCGUUGAACUCUGAUUGAGUUUUGAAGGAUAAGUUUAUAUGUAAGUUUGGGUUCGUAUAGGUAUGGAACCUUGGAGGGGAACCUUGCCUAUAUGUCGGUCAUGGAUCCGGGAUUCAGGUCGUGACAGCUUCCAACACAUUUACAUUAAUAAAACAAUUAAUAUGUUGUUCCUUGCUCAUAAUUAUUUAAUUAAAAUUGUAGAUAUGGAUGCAAAUUAGUUUAAUAACCUUUUUGAAGAAGAGUAUAAAAAUGUCAUGAACAAUCUCGCUCAAUAUGUUUCACAUGACUACGUUGGUAUGAAUAGUAGUAGUCAUAUUAGUUAUAGUAGUGGUGCUACUUAUGAUAGCAAUGCAGAUGAUGAUAGUAACAAUGACAAUAGUAACGAAGAUGAUGACGGUGACGAUGACGAUGCAGGCAAUUCAUUUUGGCAUAGAGAAUUUGAUCGUCGUAAACUAGUAUUAUGCAUAGCAAGCGCACUUGCAUUGUAUUACAAUAACUAUAUCUAUAAGCAACCUUGUAUGAUUUCAUACAACACAGGAAUGCAGUGGUUGAAUGAAAUUUUAAAUAAGCAUUGAAUACGUUGUGUAAAUAUGUUUAGGAUAGAUGCAGCGACAUUUCAAAGUUUUUGUUUUCAUUUAGAAACACAGUAUGGACUGAAACCAUCAAGGAGUAUCAGUGUUAUAGAAAACGUUGGCAUGUUUCUUUAUACUUUAGCGUUGGGUGCUUCUAAUAGGGUCCAGGAGAGAUUCCAAUAUUCUAGUGAAACAGUGAGUAGGUAUUUCAACGAGGUUCUAAAGGCUGUGUGUUUGCUAUCAAUUGAUAUAAUAAAACUAGUUGAUCCAGAUUUUUCGACAACACCACAAGAAAUCAUUAUAAACCCAAGAUAUAUGCACAUUUAAGGUAAUAUAAAAGAUUAAUAAAAAGUGAAUAUGUUUAUCUUUCCACUCUCAUUAUAUAAUCCAUUUGGUAAUUCAUUUACAAUUAAUGUUUUUUAAAUUUUGUUUUUAGAAUUGUGUGGGAGCAAUUAAUGGAACACAUAUGCGUGCUUGUGUGUCUCAGGAAAAUCAAAUACCAUUUAUUAGAAGGAAAGGAGUACCAACGCAGAACAUUAUGGCAGCAUGUAGUUUUAACAUGCAAUUUACUUUUGUUUAGGCUGGAUGGGAAAGUAGUGCACAUGACUCAAGAAUUCUUUAUAAAGCCAUCUAUAAUUCAAAUAUCAGAUUUCCAAAGGCACCAGAAGAUAUUUUGGAUAGAACAAUAAGGCUUCUUUCAAAAUUUUCAUUUAUUUAAUUUUUGGUCGCAUGGUACAAAAUAUUUUUUUGUUUUAAAUGUCUUGGGUGAAUGCAGGAAAGUAUUACGUUGUUGACUCCGGUUAUCCAAGUAAAUAUGCAUUUUUGGGUCCAAAUAAAGGUAAAAGAUAUCAUUUUCUAGAAAUUCAUCUUCCAGAAUUUCAUCAUCGAGGUCAGUUGAGAAGUCGAGAGGAGUUGUUCAAACGGGUUCAUUCCUCAAUUCGAAGUCUAAUUGAGCGAACUUUUGGGGUGUGGAAAAAAAGAUGGAGAAUUUCGCAAAACAUGCCAGUGUUUCUGUAUAAGACACAGGUGCAGAAUGUUGUUGUCUCAAUGGCUUUUCAUAACUACAUAAAAAGGAAGUAUGUACAAGAUGUUACUUUUAAUGAAUUUGAACAUCAUCCUGA